rnacentral:rRNA from 1 species
GAUUUUGAUCCUGGCUCAGGACGAACGCGGGCGGCGUGCUUAACACAUGCAAGUCGAACGGAAAGGCCCCUUCGGGGGUUCACGAGUGGCGAGGGGGUGAGUAACACGUGGGUAAUCUCCCCUGCAUUUGGGGAUAACCCGGGAAAAGGGGGUUUAAUCCGGAAUAUGAACUWCUCCCCCAGGGUGGGGGUUGGAAAGUUUUUCGGUGCAGGAUGAGCUCGCGGCCUAUCAGCUUGUUGGUGGGGUAAUGGCCCACCAAGGCGACGACGGGUAGCCGGCCUGAGAGGGUGACCGGCCACACUGGGACUGAGACACGGCCCAGACUCCUACGGGAGGCAGCAGUGGGGAAUAUUGCACAAUGGGCGAAAGCCUGAUGCAGCGACGCCGCGUGAGGGAUGACGGCCUUCGGGUUGUAAACCUCUUUCAGUAGGGAAGAAGCGAAAGUGACGGUACCUGCAGAAGAGGCCC